rnacentral:rRNA from 1 species
CCUACGGGAGACAGCAGUAGGGAAUCUUCCACAAUGGGCGAAAGCCUGAUGGAGCGACGCCGCGUGGGUGAAGAAGGUCUUCGGAUCGUAAAACCCUGUUGUUAGAGAAGAAAGUGCGUGAGAGUAACUGUUCACGUGUCGACGGUAUCUAACCAGAAAGCCACGGCUAACUACGUGCCAGCAGCCGCGGUAAUACGUAGGUGGCAAGCGUUAUCCGGAUUUAUUGGGCGUAAAGGGAACGCAGGCGGUCUUUUAAGUCUGAUGUGAAAGCCUUCGGCUUAACCGGAGUAGUGCAUUGGAAACUGGGAGACUUGAGUGCAGCAGAGGCGAGUGGAACUCCAUGUGUAGCGGUGAAAUGCGUAGAUAUAUGGAAGAACACCAGUGGCGAACGCGGCUCUCUGGUCUGUAACUGACGCUGAGGUUCGAAAGCGUGGGUAGCAAACAGGAUUAGAUACCCCUGUAGUC